CACCAGGUUGAUUCUGCCUGACGUAGACGCUAUACUCUAAGAUUAACCCAUGCAUGUUAUUGAAUAUAAAGAAAAGACGAACAGCUCAGUAACUCUUAUUUUAUUUGAUGUAUUAGGACUAUUAACUAUGUUAAAUUAUAGAUAAUAAUAAUACAAUAAGAAUAAGAUCUAUCAGUUAGUUGUUAAGGUAAUGGCUUAACAAGACAGUGACGGAUAACGGUAUUACUUUGUAAUAUUCCGGGGAAGGAGCCUGAGAGAUUGCUACUAAGUCUAAGGAUUGCAGCAGGGGCGAAACUUGACCUAUGAUAUAUUAUUGAGGCAGUUAUGAGUAGUAUUUUAUAAUUAUUGUAAUAUUGUAAGUAUAUAUUACAAGAUAAAUCGGAGGGCAAAUCGAGUGCCAGCAGCCGCGGUAAUACUUGUUCCGAUAGUGUGUAUGAUGAUUGAUGCAGUUAAAAAGUCUGUAGUUUAAAUAAUAAUAAGCAUUGUAAGGUAUAUUGUAUGGUUAGGAGAGAGAUGAAAUGUGAUAACCCUAACUGGAUGAACNGAAGCGAAAGCUAUAUACUUAAAUGUUUUAUUAGAACA
rnacentral:rRNA from 1 species